UACGGAGGGUGCAAGCGUUGCUCGGAAUUACUGGGCGUAAAGCGCGUGUAGGCGGUCUCGUAUGUCUGAUGUGAAAUCCCCGGGCUCAACCCGGGAAGUGCAUUGGAAACUGCGAGACUGGAGUCCCGGAGAGGAAGGUGGAAUUCCAGGUGUAGCGGUGAAAUGCGUAGAUAUCUGGAAGAACACCGGUGGCGAAGGCGGCCCCCUGGACAAAGACUGACGCUCAGGUGCGAAAGCGUGGGGAGCAAACAGG
rnacentral:rRNA from 1 species